ACAGCUUCUUUGGGGCCCCCCGGGACCCUGAGAAAAUCCAGAUUGGGACCUGUGAGCUGGCUCCUAUGGGACCGCGCUACCAGCCGUUCAGGCGAAAGGGGGAGGAUCUGUU
rnacentral:ribozyme from 1 species